rnacentral:rRNA from 3 species
CUAACAAGGAUUCCCCUAGUAACGGCGAGUGAAGCGGGAAGAGCUCAAGCUUAAAAUCUCCGUGCAAGUUUUGCGCGGCGAAUUGUAGUCUAUAGAGGCGUGAUCAGUGUGGGCGCUUGGGGCAAGUUCCUUGGAAGAGGACAGCAUGGAGGGUGAUACUCCCGUUCAUCCCUGAGUUGCUCGUGCGUACGAUCCGUUUUCUUUGAGUCGCGUUGUUUGGGAAUGCAGCGCAAAGUAGGUGGUAAAUUCCAUCUAAAGCUAAAUAUUGGUGCGAGACCGAUAGCGAACAAGUACCGUGAGGGAAAGAUGAAAAGAACUUUGAAAAGAGAGUUAAAGAGUACCUGAAACUGCUGAAAGGGAACCGAAUCGUUUCCAGUGUCUAUAAUCCGUGGUAUAUUUCAUUGGCGAGUGUGUGCGUGCGUGUGCUGUGGCAGCGGCUUUUUUGGCUGCGCUCGGCGUGUGUGCUGUGUGUGCUUGCUGGUGCCCUGUGCUGCGGUGGGACGUCAAGGUCAGUUCGUAUGCUGCGGGAAAUGGCCGCCGAGGAGGUAGGGCUUACGCUUGCGUUUGUCUGUUAUAUCUUGGUGGACGAGUAGUCGCGGUUGGGACUGAGGUGCCUACAACGUGUUUUUGAGUGGGCCUGUGUCUCUGUGUGCGCCGUGUGCGGAUAGCUUGCUAUGCGUGUGUGGUUGUGUGUGGAUUGAUGUGGGUUUUAACUUGUUGCCGUUCGGGACGUUGACGAAAUGGAGCGAUUUGACCCGUCUUGAAACACGGACCAAGGAGUCUAACAUGUGUGCAAGUGUUAGGGUGUGGAAACCCCAGCGCGAAAUGAAAGUGAAGGGCAGCGUAAGUUGUCUGAGGUAGGAAAUGCUGCGGGCUUCGGUCUGCGGUGUGGCACUAUCGACCGAUCAUGAACCUUCGUGGUGAAAGAUUUGAGUUUGAGCACAUAUGUUGGUACCCGAAAGAUGGUGAACUAUGCCUGAGUAGGGUGAAGCCAGGGGAAACUCUGGUGGAAGCUCGUAGCGAUUCUGACGUGCAAAUCGAUCGUCAAACUUGGGUAUAGGGGCGAAAGACUAAUCGAACCAUCUAGUAGCUGGUUCCCUCCGAAAUUUCCCUCAGGAUAGCAGCAACUUAUUUACGAUAGUUUUAUGAGGUAAAGCGAAUGAUUAGAGGAUUCGGGGAAGAAACUUCCUCGACCUAUUCUCAAACUUUAAAUCUGUAAGACCUGCAGGUUUCUUAAUUGAACUUGUGGAUGUGAAUAUCAA